rnacentral:rRNA from 1 species
CGGGAGGCAGCAGUGGGGAAUAUUGCACAAUGGAGGAAACUCUGAUGCAGCGACGUCGCGUGAGCGAAGAAGGAAUUCGUUUCGUAAAGCCCUGUCCUAUGGGAAGAUAAUGACGGUACCAUAGGAGGAAGCCCCGGCUAACUACGUGCCAGCAGCCGCGGUAAUACGUAGGGGGCGAGCGUUGUCCGGAAUUAUUGGGCGUAAAGGGUACGUAGGCGGUUUUUUAAGUCUGGUGUGAAAUUGGUGGGCUCAACCCACCCAAGCAUUGGGAACUGGAAAACUUGAGUCAUGGAGAGGAAAGUGGAAUUCCUAGUGUAGCGGUGAAAUGCGUAGAUAUUAGGAGGAAUACCGGUGGCGAAGGCGACUUUCUGGACAUGUACUGACGCUGAGGUACGAAAGCGCGGGGAGCAAACAGGAUUAGAUACCCUGGUAGUCCACGCCGUAAACGAUGAGUGCUAGGUGUUGGGGGUCAAACCUCGGUGCCGCAGUUAACACAUUAAGCACUCCGCCUGGGGAGUACGUGCGCAAGCAUGAAACUCAAAGGAAUUGACGG